rnacentral:rRNA from 1 species
UACGAAGGGGGCUAGCGUUGUUCGGAAUUACUGGGCGUAAAGCGCACGUAGGCGGAUCAUUUAGUCAGGGGUGAAAUCCCGGGGCUCAACCUCGGAACUGCCUUUGAUACUGGCGAUCUCGAGUCCGGGAGAGGUGAGUGGAACUGCGAGUGUAGAGGUGAAAUUCGUAGAUAUUCGCAAGAACACCAGUGGCGAAGGCGGCUCACUGGCCCGGUACUGACGCUGAGGUGCGAAAGCGUGGGGAGCAAACAGG